rnacentral:rRNA from 1 species
AAAUUGAAGAGUUUGAUCAUGGCUCAGAUUGAACGCUGGCGGCAGGCCUAACACAUGCAAGUCGAACGGUAACAGGAAGCAGCUUGCUGCUUUGCUGACGAGUGGCGGACGGGUGAGUAAUGUCUGGGAAACUGCCUGAUGGAGGGGGAUAACUACUGGAAACGGUGGCUAAUACCGCAUAACGUCGCAAGACCAAAGAGGGGGACCUUCGGGCCUCUUGCCAUCAGAUGUGCCCAGAUGGGAUUAGCUAGUUGGUGAGGUAACGGCUCACCAAGGCGACGAUCCCUAGCUGGUCUGAGAGGAUGACCAGCCACACUGGAACUGAGACACGGUCCAGACUCCUACGGGAGGCAGCAGUGGGGAAUAUUGCACAAUGGGCGCAAGCCUGAUGCAGCCAUGCCGCGUGUAUGAAGAAGGCCUUCGGGUUGUAAAGUA